rnacentral:rRNA from 1 species
UACGUAGGGGGCAAGCGUUGUCCGGAUUUAUUGGGCGUAAAGAGCGUGUAGGCGGCUAGAUAGGUCCGUUGUGAAAACUCGAGGCUCAACCUCGAGACGUCAAUGGAAACCAUCUGGCUAGAGUCCGGAAGAGGAGAGUGGAAUUCCUGGUGUAGCGGUGAAAUGCGCAGAUAUCAGGAAGAACACCUAUGGCGAAGGCAGCUCUCUGGGACGGUACUGACGCUGAGACGCGAAAGCGUGGGGAGCGAACAGG